CAAACGGCUCGACUGCGAGGACGUGAUUACUUAUAUACGACGAGUAACUAUACUUGCGGCUGGUAUGGAUGACAAGGAUCGGGUGGCACAUUUCUCAAGAAACACGCAUUGUGCAUGCAAUUUGCCGAAAUAGCUGACGCAAAGUAUGGAAAUGGUGAUCCUUGCGCAUGGAACGGGCAUCAUACUUUGGAUUGAUCAGAAGAAAAUGCAUGGUUGUCCCUCUGUUGCACAUAUAGCCACAUCGUGCUGUCCGUUUUGACUCAGUUUUUUUCCCCAAAUGGGAUUGUAAUUGUGUGGUUGGGUGGUGUGUCGAGAUCUCCCUUCCCCAUUCUCUAGAUAAGCGAACAGAACAAUUACAUUUGAGUGUUGAAUAUGCAGUUGGAUCCCAUUCUAACCAUGGUUCGAUGAAUGAAGGGACCAGUUAAAACCAGUUUUUUCGACGUGUCGCUAUUUGGCCAAUGUUAACAAGUUACUGCCUUGAACUGUCGCUACAUGGAAUUUGAAAGAGAGUCAGCGAGACCGGAUCUAAACACUGCCGUUACGAAUAGACGGUGCUCUUAAAAAAAAUUGGAUCGCACCUGGCCGAGGUGUGCCGGAAGUCGCUCAUUUGUGAUUUCUGUAACCAUACGUUGUGAGGGUUUUUUUUUCUGGAAAUUCCUCUGUCUUGUACUAACUAUUUAUUUCAGUUUGAAUAAAACUCAAAUCUCUAUUCUCUCGGCUGUUGUCCUGAAUUCCAUCAAACCCGCAGUGAAUGUCUUAGGUGCGUUUAACAUCUUAGGAAAUCAGUUUACAUGGUUACGGUACAGAACAGUGCGGCGGCCGCC